AUAACCUCUUCCUAAACAGACUUUUUGAGAAUUUGACCCUGUGAGGAAAAUGCCUGUGCACUCAAUGUUCCUUCUCCAGCAUAGCAAGCUACGCUGUUUGUUCUAUGGAUGGGCAUUUGGACAAAUGAAAAGGUCUAAUGCUCACGCUGAGGCAGGGACCGGAUGGCCUAGUGCCUGGACAUACGCCAGGCAAAAGACUCCCAGGGACAAUUGGCACUACCCUGCAAAUUCAUCUAGAUACAGCCUGCAAGUAUUCCAGCUUGGAACCCAGGACAGGGAUGACAGACAGCAAAGGAGGAGAGAAUGGAGUCAGUGACCAGCUGGCUGGUGCACCGUGUAAUGGAGAACCCAGAACCAGCAAAUGUGGUUCCACUUGAUGCUCAGGGACCCCGGAAAAACAGCCUAAAACACAGGCCCUGGGGCUGGGUGUGUAGGAACAUUAGCAUACUGUAAGUGUAGAGCUGCUAUUUCUGCUCUCUAGAGCAGGAUGUGGUCACAAUAAGUUGGUGGCUAUUACUAUUAUUGGCUGUCAGGGCUCCAGGAGGCUAGGAACCCUGACACUAAACAUGCUGGAACCUGGCUGAAUUCUAAAUAUGUAUUUAACAUUUGGGAAAGUAGCCUUAAUUUUCUUCUGAGCUGAACAUUAGACAACUUCCGUCCUACCACUGGAGCCUGCCCCUGCGUAUUCACACAGCAGCCACAGGAGGUGUGUCACGGGGUCCCAUACAACCCUCCCAGCAAUGUGGCUGCUGCAGCUUGGCACAGCAGCAUGUCCCACAGUGGUAGAUCUCAGUGGUGAGAUAGUUCUCCCUGUUGAGCUCAAAGCUGCCUCCCUGAUCCCUCUAGUUUCCAUUUCUGUCCUAUAAAGUGACUCAGAAUAAGUCUCUCCCUUCUUUUAAGAUUAGCCCACCAAGUAUUUUGGGUACCUCCUCUGUUGCAUGCUUCCCAGAUAAAUAUCUCUCAAUCUUCCAGCAUCUCUAAGAGGAAAUUAUCCUGCUCCUAGAGUUGGUAGGGCGGGGGGAGGCUGCUGCCUUCAUUAUUCAGAACUCUAUAAUACAACUUGGUUUGACAAUAACUCUUGACCACCUCAACACACCGUCACCUCAUCUUCAGCAUAUAGCUAACGGAGGUCCCCAGCCCUCAUUGCAGGAACUGCUGUGAGCAGGUGUCACCCACUGUGUAUGUCCCCAGUUGGCUGCUUGUUUUGAUUACAGGAGGCAAUUUUGUAACCCCGCCUCCAAGAUCUUGCAGUAUCAUGAGCAGCAAGUCAUUGGGAUUUGCGGGCAUGAGCUCAUUUUAUGUGCAUCUAUGCUUCCUGAAUGCCUUCUCUCUUGUUUCUGGUUUCGGUAGCCUCAACCCUGUUAGUUUAGCACUUUGUAGCUGCAAAAUUGUUUUCCAGUGAGGAGGGGAAGGGAAAGAAGACAUAACUACAGAGUAAGGUCUCCGUCACUCUGGGGUCAGGCCUUCUUUCUGCUUUCAGUUAAUGUAGUAACCACUUUCCCAGGCAGUGAGCCAAUAUAACCUUCACAACUACACUGUAAAAAAAAGAAUGACUAUUAUCAUUUCUAUCAUGUGAUAUGACAGAAUGAGAUAUUGAAGGCUCUGGAAUUUAGACAACUUGUUCAAGGUCAUACAGAAAGAGGGAAAUUCAUGACUCAAGUCCAGGUCAUCUGAUUCCAAAUUCUGCAUGCUUUCCACUACACCAAGCUCAUAGAUGGGGGUUAAAGGUGGAGAUGGAGGGAUGAUAAGGAAAAGACUCAUUGUUCUGUACACUCUUGAGGACUUAUGACUGAGCUGACCCUGAGCUGAAUAGAGAAUUGAGCUGAAAGAUUCCAUCUGUGUCCAAAGCAGUGUAGAAAGUAAAGAUGACACCAUGUGACACAGCCAAACAUCCGCUCUUGGAGGGUUUUCACCCACCCCUCCCAAAGCCAAUCUUGCAUUUUUUUGUGUUAUGCAAAAUACCUAGGACGUGUCAGCAAUGAAGGACACACGUAAAUGUAUGAGGAUUGGCUGGACUCACUGCACUCAGCCCUACAUUCAUUCAUUGUUUUGCCCCUUGCCCCAAAGUCCAGAAUAUUCUUCACUGCUUCAUAUCCAACUAUGCCUUUCAAUUUAGGGUCUUCCAUUGCUUGGGCUAUUCAAACCUAUCUAAGCCAUAUCUGUCAUCAUUUUGUGAGCUGGCCUCUCUUCCCAGGCCACCUAUUCUCCUCACACAUUCGCUCAUUUAAAAGCAUAAAUGCCGCACACACAAGAUGCAAGCAUGUUGUGGGAUGCAUCUGAUUUGUCUGUAGUUCUCUCAUUUGUCCAUGCUGCCUGACAACGUCUUAAAUCUUUAGUGAUUACUCUUUCAGGGAAAUUUGCCUCCUCAGUCUGAUCAUUUCCAUACUCUUUUCACCAGAGCUCUGUGGACAGAUAAGACCACAAGAAUCAGCUCCUGCCCUUACUGUAUGGGCUCUCCUGUAGAUGUUGGCGGUAGGACCCUCAGGCACAUUUGUGCAAGAGUCUAGUCCUGUGUUUUCUACUUUUUGCUUCCCACCCCAUACAACUGGAUUCAAAAAGCAUUCAUGCAUUUAUUCAGCAGAUGCUUACUGAACACAGACGAUAUUCCAGGCACAGGUCCUAGGCAUAGAAAAUAUGGCAAUGAGUAAGAUAGGCAGAGUCGCCACUACUAUGGGGUUUACAUUCCAGACAGAGAGACAGGGAAUAACAUAUAGGCAAUUUAAGGAAUAAGAUAAAUUCAAAUAGUGAUAAGUGCUUUGAUGAUAAUAUAACAGGGCAUCAUUUUAGUGAUUGGGAAAAAUUCUUUUGAUUGGGAUCCCAGGGAAGAUCUGUUUGAGAAGGCAGCAUUUAAUCUAGAUAGGGCAAAGAGUUCUAGGGAGAUCUACCGUAGACGUUGAGUGGUCAAGUGGCUGGGUGGCUGGGUGGUUGGGUGGUUGGAUGAUGGGAUGGCUAGGUGGCUGGGUGGGUAAGUGGUUGGAUGGUUGAAUGGUUGGGUGAUUGGUUGCUGGGAUGUCUAGAUGGCUAAGUGGUUGGGUGGCUGUGUAGUUGGACAGUUGGAUGGUUGAUGGCUGCGAUGCUUGGUGGUUGAGUGGCUAUAUGAAUGGAUAGUUAGAAGAUUGUGUGGAUGGGUGGGUGGGUGGUUUGGUGGCUGGGUGGUUGGAUGUUUGGGUCAUUGGUUGAACGGGUGUAAGUCCCUAUUGCUGAAGUAACAGGCCUCCCUGUCAGAAAGUUGUUUUUGCUACUUAACCUAGUUGUGUUACUUUGUUCUCUUGCAGUUCCCUGUAUUGGGAAAACUGGUAAGUUUUGUCCAUGCCUCUUUUAGCUCAAAGUAUGUCUAUGGGCCAAAACUUACUGGAUGGGAACAGGACAGUGCCCUGGGGUCACCCAGCAACAUCUGCAGAGCCGCACCAGACUAGGCCUCUUCCUCAGGGAUCUUGGUCUGUUCCCAGGAAGAGGAGACACCUGGAACUCCACUAGUCUAAGGCCAAGGGUAGUCCUAGGGUGACCCAAGCCUCAUCAGGGGAGUUCUAGGCCUCUAUUCUAUUUCCAUAAAACUGACUAUAGCCUCUGUCUUCUCUCCAUGUGGAUCUGGAGCUCCUAUAUUCUCAACUCAACAAUACCGGGACUCCGUGCCUUCCUUUUAUGUUCAGAGAAGCAGGCACCUUUGUCUGCUGAUCAGUCUUCCUUCCUUCCUCGGAUCCCCUUCCUUCCAUGCCAUUCUGUCCCACUGACCUCCAUGGAGCUUUCUGUCAAAUAGGAAAAAUUCUCAUCUAUGAAAUCUUGACCUCCAAGGAUAUGUUCUGUGACUGCAGGGGGAGAGAAUUCAAACCAACACUUAGUGCUGCUAGAAAAAGCAGCUGUGGGAGCAAGGCUUACCAUUUAGUAAUGCAGUGGGCAUCAUUACUUCCAGGGUGAGGAGAGUGGGUCCUAAGGAUCCAGAAGAUCCAGGCAAGAGCAGGAUGUGCUGGGGCUCCGCAACUGCUUACUCCUCAUUACUCUCAGGCCAUGAGGCCUGCUCAGAAGGCUGUCUGGGAAUGGGGGUGUCUGGCUUAUCAAAGAGAUGUUACAGCCAGGGUACAAGCUCAGCCUGCCCUGCAGGCAAUGCUGCUGCUGCUGCCCUGCAGGUGAUGGUGGAGCCCUGGACGCUCUUCUGCUCACAUCAGGGCAUAGAAUACAUUUUAGGAAUAGUGACAGAGAGAACGGAUCCCUUCCAUGACAGUGGUGGAAGCUGAAACCCUGCUGAAUGGGGAGAUGGAGGCUGGGCCUCGGAAAACCCAAUGAGGAAAGCAGAAAGGAGACAGCUAAGGCUGUGGCACCUCCAACACUACCACCUGCUUUCUGGUGGACAAAGAUGCCACUGUUAUCAGAAGUGAAGGCUGAAGAAAGUGUCACACUAGGUAGCCAGAGGAUGAGAAGUUAGUCCAGGCUGGAGGGAAUUGAGUCAGAAGGAAUGAGGCAAGACAAUGAACAGGAUGAAUGCAAUUAAGCCAAGCUUGCCAAGGCAGACAGGGAAGUGCAAUAUAAAGAAGACAAGGAGGGUGGGUAGUAAGAAAGCCAGAGAGAAGACACAGGGAGAGGAGAGAAUGGAGGGGAGGGGAAAGGAAUAAAGAGAAAGAGGGAAGGGGAAGGAAAGAAGGAAAGGAGGGAGAGGGAAGGAAGGAAGUCCAGGUCCUGCCCUGCCCUGGCCGGCAUGAAGGACUGGAGACAGAGACACUGCACUGGUGCCUUCCAAGGGCCUGCAUCCCCAGCAGAGGCCUUAAGCUGGGGGACAGAGGGAGAGAAGUGACCCAUGGGACCUGCUGCUCCAGGGUUUCCCUGUUUCUGUGUCUCACAGACUGGCUGUACCUCGAAGCCUGGCCAAACCCUGUGUUUGAAGGAGAUGCCCUGACUCUGCGAUGUCAGGGACGGAAGAAUGUAUCACUGUCUCAGGUGAAGUUCUACAAAGAUGGGAAAGUCCUUCGUUUCUCUAAGGGGAAGCAGACUCUGUCCAUGGGAGCAGCAACAGUGCAGAGCUGUGGCCAGUACCACUGCACGGGGCAGGUGAUGUAUAUUUCACAGCCGUUCACACAAACUUCAGAGGCUGCCAUGGUUCAAGUCCAAGGUGAGCCACCAGCUUGGGAGUUUGUGGGGCAGAAGGUGCCACUCAGGGGUCCUGUCUCUAGAGGUCAGUAGCUCUCUGGGAAGGACCCCUGUCUCUGGCUGCCCCUCAUGCUGGGCCAAUGUGUGGGGUCCUGAGGUUUCCCAAGAUGUUGUAUGAAUGUCCCCCUCCCCACCAUGGGACACAUCUGGAACCAGGGGAAGGAACAGGGAGGUCCCUGGGAGGGGGUGCUGGGAAGAGGAUGGACAAGUCCAGGCUCACCCUUCCCCUCUGUGGACUGGAGGACCUCGAAGGCCCCCACUGGCUGUGAGGGAGUCAUUUCAGAGCUUGUGGGUGAGGACAAAAGGACAGAUCCUGGGGAUGAAACUGCCUCCCAUCAGGGUCCCCAGGCUGCAGCAUGGGAUGAGUAGAAGCUCAGGCCUCAGCCUCCUGGGCUUCAUCACCCUGGACUUGCCUCCUGAGCCCUGGGCCUGCGUCUCCCCAGAACUUUUCCCACCUCCUGUGCUGCGUGCCAUCCCCUCUCCUGAGCCCCGAGAGGGGAGCCUGGUGACCCUGAGAUGUCAGACAAAGCUGUACCCCCUGAGGUCAGCCUCGAGGCUCCUCUUCUCCUUCCACAAAGGUGGCCGCAUCUUGCAGGACAGGGGCCCCCACCCAGAACUCUACAUCCCAGGAGUCAAGGGGGGAGACUCUGGGCUUUACUGGUGUGAGGCGGCCCCUGAGGGUGGCCAGGUCCAGAAGCAGAGCCCCCAGCUGGAGGUCAGAGUGCAGGCUCCUGUGUCCCACCCUGCGCUCACUUUGCACCAUGGGCCCACUGACCCUGCUGUGGGGGACGUGGUGCAGCUCCUCUGCGAGGCCCAGAGGGGCUCCCCUCCGAUCCGGUAUUCAUUCUACCUUGAUGAGAAGAUUGUAGGGAACCACUCAGCUCCCUGUGGUGGAAUCACCUCCCUGCUCUUCCCGGUGAAGUCAGAGCACGAUGGUGGGAACUACUCCUGCGAGGCUGAGAACAGCGUCUCCAGAGAGAGGAGUGAGCCCAAGAAGCUCUCUCUGAAGGGUUCUCAAGCCUUGUCUACUCCCACCGGCAGCAACUGGCUGGUUCCUUGGCUGCCUGCGAGCCUGCUUGGCAUGAUGGUCAUUGCUGCUGCACUUCUGGUUUAUUUGAGACCCUGGAGAAAAGCUGGUCAGCAACUCUCCCUGGCUUUCUUAGCUGCUGAAUCCCUGUGCCAGGCCCUGCGUAACCUUUGAAAAGCCAGAGUCUGACACGACCAGCCACUCUCUUCUCCUGGGUGCGGGGUGGGAGGAGGGACUUCUCUCCCUGUGUCACACAAAGGGACACAUGGAAGGACAGUUAACGCUUCCAAAACAUACACACACAUGCACUCACUCACAUGCUCGCAGUCAUCCAGAGAUGCUUGCAAACAUGACCACACACUCAGGCAUGAACAGAACAUAAACCGAAGAAUUGUUAGAAGCCAAGCAUGAUGCAUGUCAAUGUCCUUUACGUUAGAAAGACAAUCUGUGGCUCAGCAGAGCUCCUGUCUGCUUAGCAGAGGAGAAAGAAGACAGAACGGCAGUGCAUAUGUACAGGCUCACUCUCACACACUCACGUUGUACAGUACUUUACUGUAGCAGAGUGUGCAAAGGAUAUUAACUAUCAGAAAGGAAAUAUGAUCAACAAGACUGAGCCACGGCCUGGCCCCAACAGUACCUUUAGUUCCAUAGCCUUGCGCCAGUUCACUGUAAGACUCACUAAAUCAGCUUCCUCUUCAGGGAUACUGUAAGGGUUUAAGUUAAUGAAGAGCAUUUAUCUAGUACCUCAUGUAUUAGACUGGCACAUAGUGGAUGCUCAGUAAAUUCUCAUUCUAAUCUAAGCAGAUCACACCAGCAGGUUCCCAGGCUGCCCUUUCUCCUCUGUGCAUUCUCUAACGCUUGUAAUCAAAGUCACUAAAAAGAAAAAGGUUGGUUAAAAUUCUGACGUGGAGGAAAACAAUCAGACAAAUGACAUUUCAGGUUAUCUAUUUAUUUUGAAAUUCCAGACUCUAUUCUUCUUCCUGUCUCAGUCGUGACAAUUAAGAAUGAAUGUUGGCUUUCAUUCACGCGUGGCCAUGCGUUUAUUCCAACUCUAACCUUUGCUCGCCUCAGGCCACGUGUAAGGAAUGGCUGCCCGUGCCAAAGCUAUCUGGUGUCAGUUCAUUCGUAGGGCUUCAAAUCCGCCUACAGAGGUUCGAAUAAACCCCACUUCCUCCUCUGCAGGGCAAUGUUUUUAUUUUCUACUUGUCUAGGACAAAAGUCAUUGCUCUCAUAGACCUCCAAAGCUAUUUGCUUAUUUAAGUUUGCAGCUCUCUCUGCUGAGAAAUUUGGGAUGAACUUUCCAGGAGCUGGGCCAGCCCGCUAAUUAAGGAAGACCACCCAGUCAUAUGUUCAAAGCAUUCCUUCCUGCAUUCACCAGGGUGGCUGAAAGGGUCUCUCCCCAUCCCUAGUCCCAACACCCCGCCUCACCAGGCGCCUAGUGAGGGUUUGGACCAGACUUCAACUUCCUCUCCCCUUUUGAAUUUGUAGUCUUCUGUCCAUACAACUUCCUAGCCUCACCCUUCUCACUAGUCUUGAGUCUGAAUUCAACAUAGGCUAGGUUUGCUUUAAGGUGUCCCUUUAUAGUGGGGAAAGGAGAGGAGGCCCAGAGCUAUUGGGGAGGCAGCUGGAGCAGGGAACCACAAACCAAAGAUCUGUGAGUUCUAUGUCAUUGUGUCUAAUAAAACCUCCUCCAGAUGAUGCAAUCUUCCUUUGCUCCAGAGUCUAAGUCUAAACAGGCCAGUCUCCACAAUAAGAUGGAGUCAAGAAGACCAUGAGCUUCAGCCACAGCUAUCAGAGUCAGGUGGCAGAGAUGGGGGAAAGGCUGGUCCUUGUACAGAGAAAUAGGCCACGUGGCAUCAUGGGAAGAGUGUGGGUUUCAGAGCUGUUGGGGAGGCAGCUGGAGGAGGGAACCACAAACCAAAGAUCUAUGAGUUGUAUGUCAUUGUGUCUAAUAAAGCCUCCUCCAAAUGGCCUCAGUAACA